UACGGAGGGAGCUAGCGUUGUUCGGAAUUACUGGGCGUAAAGCGCACGUAGGCGGCUACUCAAGUCAGAGGUGAAAGCCCGGGGCUCAACCCCGGAACUGCCUUUGAAACUAGGUAGCUAGAAUCUUGGAGAGGUCAGUGGAAUUCCGAGUGUAGAGGUGAAAUUCGUAGAUAUUCGGAAGAACACCAGUGGUGAAGGCGACUGACUGGACAAGUAUUGACGCUGAGGUGCGAAAGCGUGGGGAGCAAACAGG
rnacentral:rRNA from 1 species